GGGCCCGCACAAGCGGUGGAGUAUGUGGUUUAAUUCGAUGCAACGCGAAGAACCUUACCAGGGCUUGACAUCCUGCGAACCUCUGGGAAACAGGAGAGUGCCUUCGGGAACGCAGUGACAGGUGGUGCAUGGCUGUCGUCAGCUCGUGUCGUGAGAUGUUGGGUUAAGUCCCGCAACGAGCGCAACCCACGUCUUUAGUUGCCAGCAUUUAGUUGGGCACUCUAGAGAGACUGCCGGUGAUAAACCGGAGGAAGGUGUGGAUGACGUCAAGUCAUCAUGCCCCUUACAUCCUGGGCUACACACGUACUACAAUGCUACGGACAAAGGGCAGCAAGUUCGCGAGGACAAGCA
rnacentral:rRNA from 1 species